GCUGCCAUGUGUUCCCAGCGAGAUCCUCAGCCUUCCUAGUAGUUUCUCCCAUCUUUCUUCUCCAUCUUACUAGGACAUCCCGCACGGUUCCCAUCUUAUCUUUGAAGGAAAAUGAUGAAGAGAGCUGUCCAGGAGAUGAAGAAACGUAGGGAUUGGAUCCGUCAAAGUGAACGUUGUCAUUGCCAUUUUUGUUCUGAGAAGCAUGAGAUUCAGUGACCAAUUCGGGGCUCCAGUGGACCGAUUUCCUUGCGGACCCAGGACGGUUCGGAGAUUGCAAUUGAUCACUCUCACCCUGACCCUGCGUCUCAGAAUCCGAUCCCGUCGAGACACUGUCCUUAUUCGCAUUUCCAUUUGGUGCAUGAUGAUUAUCUCCGGUUGACGGAUCGGGUAGGGAGUUCGGCUUCGGAUCCUGGUCCGUGGAUUCCUUCUUCUGCUCUGUCCCCGCCUUGGGCUGCUGCUCCAUGUUUCCAGAAGAUUCAAGCGUGCGGUGGCGCGUGGGGAAUAAGUUUGCUUUCUGUAUCGGGAAAUUGCUUUUGGUUUCGGUGUAUGAAAAUUUUGAAGAAAUGGUGAGGGAUUUCCCAGUGGAUGGGCUAACCG
rnacentral:misc_RNA from 1 species